GCCCUCACCUCUGCAGCACAGAUACUAAAACUAGAAUUAUACAGAGAAGAUUUGCAUGGCGCCUGUGCAAAGAUGACACACAAAUUAAGAAGCAUGUCAUAUUUUU